AGCGAACGCUGGCGGCAGGCUUAACACAUGCAAGUCGAGCGGGCCUUUCGGGGUCAGCGGCGGACGGGUGAGUAACGCGUGGGAACGUGCCCUCUGGUUCGGAAUAACUCAGGGAAACUUGAGCUAAUACCGGAUACGCCCUUUUGGGGAAAGGCUUGCUGCCGGAGGAUCGGCCCGCGUCUGAUUAGCUAGUUGGUGAGGUAACGGCCCACCAAGGCGACGAUCAGUAGCUGGUCUGAGAGGAUGAUCAGCCACACUGGGACUGAGACACGGCCCAGACUCCUACGGGAGGCAGCAGUGGGGAAUAUUGGACAAUGGGCGCAAGCCUGAUCCAGCCAUGCCGCGUGAGUGAUGAAGGCCUUAGGGUUGUAAAGCUCUUUUAUCCGGGACGAUAAUGACGGUACCGGAGGAAUAAGCCCCGGCUAACUUCGUG
rnacentral:rRNA from 1 species